rnacentral:rRNA from 1 species
CAGUCGCCGCGGUAAUACGUAGGGUGCGAGCGUUAAUCGGAAUUACUGGGCGUAAAGCGUGCGCAAGCGGUUGUGUAAGACAGGUGUGAAAUCCCCGGGCUUAACCUGGGAACUGCGCUUGUGACUGCACAGCUAGAGUAUGGCAGAGGGGGGUGGAAUUCCACGUGUAGCAGUGAAAUGCGUAGAGAUGUGGAGGAACACCGAUGGCGAAGGCAGCCCCCUGGGCCAAUACUGACGCUCAUGCACGAAAGCGUGGGGAGCAAACAGGAUUAGAUACCCCCGUAGUCCCUGUCUCUUAUAC